rnacentral:rRNA from 1 species
AAUAAACGCUGGCGGCGUGCCUAACACAUGCAAGUCGAGCGAGAAAGCUCCUUCGGGAGUUAGUAAAGCGGCGAACGGGUGAGCAACACGUGAGAAUCUACCCUUUAGUGAAGAAUACCCUCGAGAAAUCGAGGCUAAUACUGCAUACGUCCCUUCGGGGAGAAAGAUGGCCUCUUUGCUAUCGCUAAAGGAUGAGCUUGCGUACUAUUAGCUAGUUGGCGGGGUAAAGCCCACCAAGGCAAUGAUGGUUAACCGGCCUGAGAGGGUGUACGGUCACACUGGAACUUAGACACGGUCCAGACUCCUACGGGAGGCAGCAGUGAGGAAUCUUGCGCAAUGGGCGAAAGCCUGACGCAGCGACGCCGCGUGGAGGAUGACGGUUUUUCGGAUUGUAAACUCCUGUUAAGCGGGAAGAAAGCCUUGUUUCUAAUACAAGCAAGGUAUGACGGUACCGCUAGAGAAAGCACCGGCUAACUUCGUGCCAGCAGCCGCGGUAAAGUGACGCU